GCAUUGGUGAGUUCAGUGGUAAAAUCCUCGCCUGCCACGCGGGGGGGCCGAGGUUCGAUUCCCGGCCAAUGCA
rfam:Ciona savignyi cont_30962, whole genome shotgun sequence.